rnacentral:rRNA from 1 species
GACGAACGCUGGCGGCGUGCUUAACACAUGCAAGUCGAACGGAAAGGCCCUGCUUUUGUGGGGUGCUCGAGUGGCGAACGGGUGAGUAACACGUGAGUAACCUGCCCUUGACUUUGGGAUAACUUCAGGAAACUGGGGCUAAUACCGGAUAGGAGCUCCUGCUGCAUGGUGGGGGUUGGAAAGUUUCGGCGGUUGGGGAUGGACUCGCGGCUUAUCCGCUUGUUGGUGGGGUAGUGGCUUACCAAGGCUUUGACGGGUAGCCGGCCUGAGAGGGUGACCGGCCACAUUGGGACUGAGAUACGGCCCAGACUCCUACGGGAGGCAGCAGUGGGGAAUAUUGCACAAUGGGCGGAAGCCUGAUGCAGCAACGCCGCGUGCGGGAUGACGGCCUUCGGGUUAUAAACCGCUUUCGCCUGUGACGAAGCGUGAGUGACGGUAAUGGGUAAAGAAGCACCGGCUAACUACGUG